rnacentral:lncRNA from 1 species
ACAUCCAUGCCCCAUCCUGCGUGCAAGCACACACGCAGGAAGAAUCCGGACAUGCCACAGGAGUAAGAGGACCCCAAAUCAUUACCAAAGUCAUCGGUGCCAUGUUAACGCCACAGGCACAGCUCCAUUCAGAACACCCGGCCAUCCAAGUCACAGAGAAGCCUGGAAAGGGGAGAUCGGCCGGGGUUCCCUGCAACCCUCACGGUAACCCCAGACUGUACACAAGAGGGAGACCUUUUCCCAGUCUGGCGGUCGCCUCCACAAAUAUCGUUAACAGAAACAAGCGUGCACACUCAAGUGAAACGGGAGCCCUCCCCCCAUCUCUGUCUAACUUGAUUCGGCCAUCUUGGAGGAUUUCAUCUGAGGAUUAUGCACCACCGUGGACCGAGCAGCCAAGAGGAGCCGCUCCUCAGGAGACAAAGUCACAGAGGCUCUGAAAGCCCUGAGACCCGGUUACAUCCACCUGGACACAGCCACCAGUUUCCUGUGGAGCACACUGGACUAUGCUGUGCUAAGGGUGUUCACCUGCCUGUCCCUCCUGCCAGGCCUAGAUUGAAAGGACACAGACUCUCCUGACUUGCAAAGGCUGAACACUACGCUGGCUUUUAAUCCUCAGAAACAAGGCUGCCCUGUUGCUAUGCAGUGAGUACUUAUAUAUCGAUAAACUACCCCAAGAAGCACUUCAUAAAGAUACCCAGCCUCUGACUCAUGAGCCAAAUAAACACCUAUUCUUUAUAAAUCAUCCA